GUGUGAGCUCAGAGCCUGUUUGC
rnacentral:piRNA from 1 species